AACGCAAAUUGCGCCCGAGGCUUCGGCCGAGGGCAUGUCUGCCUCAGCGUCGGCCCACUCCCUCGUUCCCCACCCUUGCGUGGUCGAACGGAUCUGACCUUCCCGGUUCAGCUCGUUGUUGACGGCCCCGGGUUGGUUGAAGCUUAGAGGUUUGAGCAUGGCCCCGACUGAAGGGCAAUGGCUUGGUAGGUGGGCUUUCCACAACCCUGCCGUCGCCCUAGGGACCUUGUUGGAAGCCAACCGGGCUUUGGGCCAAGUCUCAAAGCCCACCUUCAAAUUUCGACCUGAGCUCAGGCAAGACUACCCGCUGAACUUAA
rnacentral:misc_RNA from 1 species